rnacentral:rRNA from 1 species
AUGCAAGUCGAACGAUGAAGCCCAGCUUGCUGGGUGGAUUAGUGGCGAACGGGUGAGUAACACGUGAGUAACCUGCCCUUAACUCUGGGAUAAGCCUGGGAAACUGGGUCUAAUACCGGAUAGGAGCGCCUACCGCAUGGUGGGUGUUGGAAAGAUUUAUCGGUUUUGGAUGGACUCGCGGCCUAUCAGCUUGUUGGUGAGGUAAUGGCUCACCAAGGCGACGACGGGUAGCCGGCCUGAGAGGGUGACCGGCCACACUGGGACUGAGACACGGCCCAGACUCCUACGGGAGGCAGCAGUGGGGAAUAUUGCACAAUGGGCGCAAGCCUGAUGCAGCGACGCCGCGUGAGGGAUGACGGCCUUCGGGUUGUAAACCUCUUUCAGUAGGGAAGAAGCGAAAGUGACGGUACCUGCAGAAGAAGCACCGGCUAACUACGUGCCAGCAGCCGCGGUAAUACGUAGGGUGCGAGCGUUAUCCGGAAUUAUUGGGCGUAAAGAGCUCGUAGGCGGUUUGUCGCGUCUGUCGUGAAAGUCCGGGGCUUAACCCCGGAUCUGCGGUGGGUACGGGCAGACUAGAGUGCAGUAGGGGAGACUGGAAUUCCUGGUGUAGCGGUGGAAUGCGCAGAUAUCAGGAGGAACACCGAUGGCGAAGGCAGGUCUCUGGGCUGUAACUGACGCUGAGGAGCGAAAGCAUGGGGAGCGAACAGGAUUAGAUACCCUGGUAGUCCAUGCCGUAAACGUUGGGCACUAGGUGUGGGGACCAUUCCACGGNUUCCGCGCCGCAGCUAACGCAUUAAGUGCCCCGCCUGGGGAGUACGGCCGCAAGGCUAAAACUCAAAGGAAUUGACGGGGGCCCGCCCAAGCGGCGGAGCAUGCGGAUUAAUUCGAUGCUACGCGAAGAACC